rnacentral:rRNA from 1 species
AUGAAGUUCCUUCGGGAAUGGAUUAGUGGCGAACGGGUGAGGAACACGUAAGAAACCUGCCUUUCAUUCUGGGAUAACACCGGGAAACCGGUGCUAAUACCGGAUACUCCGUCUUGGCGGCAUCGCCGAGCCGGGAAAAAAUUUUGAUGAAAGAUGGUCUCGCGGCCUAUCAGCUAGUUGGUGAGGUAAAGGCUCACCAAGGCGACGACGGGUAGCCGGCCUGAGAGGGCGACCGGCCACACUGGGACUGAGACACGGCCCAGACUCCUACGGGAGGCAGCAGUAGGGAAUAUUGGGCAAUGGGCGCAAGCCUGACCCAGCGACGCCGCGUGAGGGAUGAAGGUCUUCGGAUUGUAAACCUCUUUCAGUAGGGAAGAAGCGAAAGUGACGGUACCUAAAGAAGAAGCACCGGCUAACUAUGUGCCAGCAGCCGCGGUAAUACAUAGGGUGCAAGCGUUGUCCGGAAUUAUUGGGCGUAAAGAGCUCGUAGGUCGUUUGUCGCGUCGAUUGUGAAAAUCUGAGGCUCAACCUCAGACCUGCAGUCGAUACGGGCAAACUAGAGUGUGGUAGGGGAGACUGGAAUUCCUGGUGUAGCGGUGGAAUGCGCAGAUAUCAGGAGGAACACCAAUGGCGAAGGCAGGUCUCUGGGCCAUAACUGACACUGANGAGCGAAAGUGCGGGGAGCGAACAGGAUUAGAUACCCUGNUAGUCCGCACCGUAAACGGUGGGCACUAGUUGUGGGAACCUUCCACNGUUUCCGCGACGCANCUAACGCAUUAAGUGCCCCGCCUGGGGAGUACGAUCGCAAGAUUAAACUCNNAAGGAANUGACNGGGCCCCGCACAAGCANCGG